UAAGGAAUAUUGCUCAAUGGGAGAAAUCCUGAAGCAGCAACGCCGCGUGGAGGAUGAAGGGUCUAUGACUUGUAAACUCCUGUAAAGAAGGAAAAAAUUCCCAUUAGAUGGGAGAUGAUGGUACUUCUGGAGUAAGCCCCGGCUAACUACGUGCCAGCAGCCGCGGUAAUACGUAGGGGGCAAGCGUUGUCCGGAUUUACUGGGUGUAAAGGGUGCGCAGGCGGACCGAUAAGUCGGGGGUUAAAUCCAUGUGCUUAACACAUGCACGGCUUCCGAUACUGUCGGUCUAGAGUCUCGAAGAGGAAGGUCGAAUUUCCGGUGUAACGGUGGAAUGUGUAGAUAUCGGAAAGAACACCAGUGGCGAAGGCAGCCUUCUGGUCGAGAACUGACGCUCAUGCACGAAAGCGUGGGGAGCAAACA
rnacentral:rRNA from 1 species